UACGGGGGGGGCAAGCGUUGUUCGGAAUUACUGGGCGUAAAGGGCUCGUAGGCGGCCAACUAAGUCGGACGUGAAAUCCCUCGGCUUAACCGGGGAACUGCGUCUGAUACUGGAUGGCUUGAAUCCGGGAGAGGGAAGUGGAAUUCCCGGUGUAGUGGUGAAAUGCGUAGAUAUCGGGAGGAACACCAGUGGCGAAGGCGACUUCCUGGCCUGUUCUUGACGCUGAGGCGCGAAAGCUAGGGGAGCAAACGGG
rnacentral:rRNA from 1 species